AUUGAACGCUGGCGGCAGGCCUAACACAUGCAAGUCGAGCGAGCGGCGGACGGGUGAGUAAUGCCUAGGAAUCUGCCUGGUAGUGGGGGAUAACGUCCGGAAACGGGCGCUAAUACCGCAUACGAUUGAAUGAGCCGAUGUCGGAUUAGCUAGUUGGCGGGGUAAAGGCCCACCAAGGCGACGAUCCGUAGCUGGUCUGAGAGGAUGGUCAGCCACACUGGACUUGAGACCCGGUCCAGACUCCUACGGGAGGCAGCAUUGGGGAAGAUUGGACAAUGGGCGCAAGCCGGACCCCGCCAUACCGCGUGGGUGAAGAAGGCCUUCGGGUUGAAAAGCCCUUUUGUUGGGAAAGCGGUACCCAAAGAAUAAGCACCGGCUAACUUCGUGCCAGCAGCCGCGGUAAUAC
rnacentral:rRNA from 1 species